rnacentral:rRNA from 1 species
AGACCCGAAACCCGGUGAUCUAGCCAUGGGCAGGUUGAAGGUUGGGUAACACUAACUGGAGGACCGAACCGACUAAUGUUGAAAAAUUAGCGGAUGACCUGUGGCUGGGGGUGAAAGGCCAAUCAAACCGGGAGAUAGCUGGUUCUCCCCGAAAGCUAUUUAGGUAGCGCCUCGUGAAUUCAUCUCCGGGGGUAGAGCACUGUUUCGGCUAGGGGGCCAUCCCGGCUUACCAACCCGAUGCAAACUGCGAAUACCGGAGAAUGUUAUCACGGGAGACACACGGCGGGUGCUAACGUCCGUCGUGAAGAGGGAAACAACCCAGACCGCCAGCUAAGGUCCCAAAGUCAUGGUUAAGUGGGAAACGAUGUGGGAAGGCCCAGACAGCCAGGAUGUUGGCUUAGAAGCAGCCAUCAUUUAAAGAAAGCGUAAUAGCUCACUGGUCGAGUCGGCCUGCGCGGAAGAUGUAACGGGGCUAAACCAUGCACCGAAGCUGCGGCAGCGACACUGUGUGUUGUUGGGUAGGGGAGCGUUCUGUAAGCCUGUGAAGGUGGCCUGUGAGGGUUGCUGGAGGUAUCAGAAGUGCGAAUGCUGACAUAAGUAACGAUAAAGCGGGUGAAAAGCCCGCUCGCCGGAAGACCAAGGGUUCCUGUCCAACGUUAAUCGGGGCAGGGUGAGUCGACCCCUAAGGCGAGGCCGAAAGGCGUAGUCGAUGGGAAACGGGUUAAUAUUCCCGUACUUGGUGUUACUGCGAAGGGGGGACGGAGAAGGCUAUGUUGGCCGGGCGACGGUUGUCCCGGUUUAAGCGUGUAGGUGUGUGUUCCAGGUAAAUCCGGUUCACUUUAACAC